AGAUGCCAAAUGCCCUUCUCCCAUGUGCUGUGCUUGCUUUGGUUGGAGGAAUAUGAAGGAUGGCAUUGUCCUGGAGGCAUGCAAGAUGGCAGGCGGUCAGUUCAUUUUACACAAACAGAUAAGGUAUCACAUUGACACAGCUCCUGGAGCAGCUUGUCAUUAAACCUAGAUGGAUGGUUUUCCCACCAGAUGUUGCCUUUUUGCCAUUUGCCAGAAACUCCUUUACUCUUCAUCAGUUUACAUCCAGGAAAGCUGUGCUCGUCUGCACAUCUAUUGAGUGAUUAUAAAGUCAUGAAAUCAAUUUCAUAAACCCCAAAUGAAAAUCACUGUUAUGAUUUUAUUAUCAUAUCAUAUACUGGGGGGAAAGUCUCACUUCUCUUAUUAUAGUAUUCCCCAACAUAAAAGUUUAUUCACUGAUCAAGCAUUAUUCCACAAGCACUUUAAAGUAAUCAUUUCCUAGAGGUAGAAACUGGAAUUGUUUAAAGAUGUCAUAGAAUUAAGUAGUAUUUAUAAAACUUUUCUCUUAGUUGCUGUAGAACAAAGACCCAGUAAAUCUUAAUAGAGCGGCUCCUAUUGGAAACCUCACCAAUUAGUAUUUCUGGGAAGGCAUAAAAAAUUUGAGGGCAAAACCCUUGUCUGGGUAUUUUAUAUUUCACAUAUAAGGUGUGUAUAUCAUGUAUUUUAUGUACUUCAUGUGACCAGAAAAUUCUACUGGAAAAGAAAUAAAUUUGGUGAGGAAAGGUAGUGGGGAGAGAUGUUGCAGAAACAAGGAUAUUAUAAAGAAAAGAGGGGAGGUCCCAUUUUUUUAUAGAGUAGGAAAGAGAAGAGAAGGGAAUAGAUUCCAGGCAAGAAAAAAAUAUGGACCACAGGGCAUGACAGGUAUAAAAAUGGGAGUGUAAGAUUGAGUAUGGUACGAACACUCGUCAAAUGCUAAAAAGACAAGUAACUAAAAGGCAUUUGGUGGAAAAAAAUCAGAGCACCAAAGAGUCUGGCUGGUCUUUAUUUUAUUUAGUUCACAGGUUGUUCUUUAGCAUAGACAAUCCAGGACCUGUUUGGCGCUGCCAUCCAAAGUCAUUCAUUAAUAUUCUCCAGCUGCUCCCAAAUUCCCAAGCCAGCUGCAUCUUUCACAUCUAUUUUUCUCCAAUUCCUUCCUCUCUUAGAAUUUUCCUGGUCACACUACAGUGGGGGCUCAGAUUUUAGGCAUUAAGAGUGCUCUUUAACAGAGAAAGAUAAUUAUAGCUCUACAGACUCUGGGGAAAAUAAUUGUCGACAGAUUCUCACCAACACUGUUUCCCCCUCGGUGAGAACAACAAACGGGUAGGAAAAAAACAACUACGGCACUGACUUGUUGCUUUUCUCAAGUGAUCGUACUUAGCAGGAGGAAAACCACAUGAAGCAGAAACCAGAAUAAAGGGCCUACAUCACGACUGAGGGUGCUUUCUUGACAAGAAAUUAAGCAUUUUGAUUUGAAGGUGUUAUCAAGCACGUUGGCUGUUGAAGGCAAGAGCUACAGCGCCAGGACCGCUCCUGAUUUCAAGAUGAGGAUCAAAAGAAUACCUCCUUUUGAGUCCAAAAUUUUCACUGCAGCUUUUGUCUUUGUGCCAAGAACUGCAUUCACAGGGGAGUUCAGAAUUACUUCAAAGACCUCAUCAUCUUCCUCUAAUCCGUCAUAGGUAAUUGCUAUAUUCCACAUCUUAGUUGACAUUCCUACAAGAAGUAAACAUUUUAAUUACUCUUUAAUUGCUAUUUCAAUCACCUAGGUGUCAGAGAAAUAUAUUAAUUAACAUGUCUACAGCUAGACUGCAGUAGCCCGAGUGAGCUAUUGUACUGCUACCAACUCACUGAAGUCCUGCUGUUCUCCCAAAUAAUAUGAAAAGACCACAUUUGUUCCUGGACGAUGAUGUUUCCGUUUAAAUGCAAACACUGUAACAAAAAAGUAAGCUGCAGUAUGCAAGGGAUAAAAAAAAAAUGGUUAUUAGAUGAGAUCCAAGACUUAAUUAUUUUCCCAACCUGUCCCUUCUCUUCUGAAGAGUAAACAAGUAUUGCAAUCUCAAAAUCUUAAUAGUUUAAAAAAUCUUAAGCUGUUGAUGCAGACAGAAGUGAUUAUUGGAUGGUACUUCAUGCUAUUCAUGGAACCCUUGAAAUGAUUGAUUUCUUAAUCAUUUCUAAAGACAGCUGCCUGCAUCGGCUUCCCCACUUCCUGAGAUCUUUCUAGCCCACAAAUGCUUUUUCUGAUGAUAUAAUACUCAGUAGUUUGAUAUCCUCCUAGAGAGAAUUUAUGGGCUGGGGGUUCUAGAAAUAAAGCCAAUUUUUUCCCUCUUUCUGGCUGCCUCUAUUCAUGAAGUUACAAUCAAGCUUGGUUCACAGUAACUUUGUGAACUUAAUAUUAUACAAAACAGUUUUGACCUUACAAACAUAUCCCAGCCAUCCUGUCAACACCAAGACUGGAAACAAAGCAACCCCAGAUACACAAAAUAUUAAGACUGCAAGAAGAAACUUCUGAGAUGAUCUCAUCCUGACCAGUUUCUAUGAUGUGGAUCAUAGGAUAUCCCCUGAGUUUACUUAGAAGAACAAGUGGUGGAAGGAAGUAAAGGGAAUACUUUUAAGUGGAGAAAGAAGGCUCAACUUUAAGAGGAAUAAACACAGUAAACUUAUCGAUUUAACUUUUCUUAGCUGAGAUGGAAAAGCUUACUCUGCCAUUUGCUCAUUGGCUAUUUGAGUGCUUUUACUCCUUUAAGCCCCUCUAUAUGAUACAGUUAAACUUUUUAAAAAGUCUUCUCUUAAAAAUGUAACUCUUGGCCGGGUGCAGUGGUAAACAACUGUAAUCCCAGCACUUUGGCAGGCCAAGGCGGGCAGAUCACUUGAGCUCAGGAGUUUGAGACCAACCUGGCCAACAGAGCAAAACCCCAUCUCUACAAUAAAACAAAAACAAAAACAAAAAUUAGGUGGGCGUGGUGGCACGUGCCUGUGAUCUCAACCACUCAGGAGGCUGAGGUGGGAGGAUCGCUUGAGCCCAGAAGGUCAAGGCUGCAGUGAGCCCAGGAUGUGUCACUGCACUCCAGCCUGGGCAACAGAGUGAGACCUUGUCCCCAUCUCCAAAAAACGACUCUUUUAUCUUGCAGAUUGCCUUCUACAGACUUAUACCUCUCAACUGUCCAUCUAUAUGGUGGCCUCUUUCUUGAAGGUAUGCCUCACAUAGAUCUCAUGAUCUAAUCAGUCUCUUCAAUCCUCAACAGAAGUCAAUGGAAAGGUGAAGCUAUCCACUUCUUCUACUUUUGGCUGGCUGCACUUAGAGGGGAAAAAAUUAGGUGUACUUGGAAUAAAUAGAUUUUAUUCAAAAACAGGCUGACAGCUAAUUUAUUAAGCUUCCAGUACUGAGUUUUUAAACCAAUUACGUUCACAGUCUUUGCAAAAGCAGAAGUUGAAGCAUCUAGUAUGUAUAAUAAUACCAUACAAUUCCCAUCUCAUGGAUGGAUAAAUCAAUACAUCAAAAUAUAUAUUUUGUACUUAUGAUAUGCUUAUCUUUGCAUUAGAUGCUAUGGAGAAUACCAGAGGUGUAACAUAAGCCAAGCCCUGAUCUAAGGGAGCUUAAAAUCUUUUGGGGGAGACAGAAGCAAAACCAGAAAAGUCAAAUAAUUAUUGAAAGCUAUGUAUGUUUACCUACUAAAAGAUACAGAAUAGAUUGUAGAGCCUAUAUAAAUGUGGGCUUUAGAAGUGAAAGGAUUAGGAGGGAGGAAACAGGAAAACAACAUAAGUAAAGACAGGAAGAUAGCAAAGCAGAGGUCUUGACUCGGGAAGGGUGAGUGAAUUAGCUGGCUGGAAUAGAGAGGUUACAUGGGUGGACAGGAGGCCAUAAGGCUGCAAAGAUUAUUUGUAGCCAGACUGCAGAGAGCCCUGGGCACCUGGCCAGAUUCAGACUUUACAACAUAGGCAAGAGGGAAGGGUCUUGAACAAAGAAGUCACACACUGAAAGUGGAUUAGCAAAAUGAACCUGAGAGUGUUAUGUGAGAAAGUCUGGAGAUCCAGGCAGAUAGACAGAUAGGCUAGAAGUUUGAAGACCACAUAGACAGCUGCUGUAAUACAAUUGGCAUGAAAAGAUAAGAGGUGGUCAAUGAAGAAAGCAUAUGAAUAAUAUGAUUAUUAGUACUUGGAGAACUGUUUUGACCCUCAAAGACCAUAAAGUUAAGCAUCAUGUAAAUAAAAUCCAAUACAGAAAAUAUUUCCAACUCCCAACCGACUCUCUGAUUUUAAGGUUAAUUUUUUAAAAUUAUAGUACCCCCCAAACAAACAAACAAACAAACAAAAAACAAAAAACUUAAGGUUUUUGUUGGACCUUACGGAGUAGAACCAGAUGGUUAGGGGUUGGAGAAAAUAUCUUUUGAGUUUCAUUUAAGUGCUUCUGAUUUGUUUGUGUGCAUUCCAACUUGGUUUCUAUGCCUUCCAGGUGUGCACAGAGGACUAACUCUUUAGGUUAAUGAGAUUGGAAGUCAAAACUUUAUCAUUUUUUCCCUUCCUCUUUCACUUUCAAGGUGCAAAGUAUUUGCUAAGUCCCUGAGAUAUACAAGCAUUUUCAGAAGGCUUGGACUGGCUCCCUGUUCCCACAAAACAAAAGGUGCUGAAGAGAAAACAGAGGUGUCAUUUUAUGCAGACAUAUUCCACUUUACAGAGUAGGUGUAGUAUAUUUGAGAAGAUCUUUCUACGCAGAGACUGUGAUUGCUUAAACUGUACACAAACACCUGGAAGAAAAAUAAGAGAUGUAGUCAAUCACUUGGGAAUUUUGCCUGCAAGAAGCCACACAGCUAUAUGCCUGGCAUCAUGUAAAUGUCCAGAUCCAGGAGCCCAUGAGAGAAAUUCGUAAAGUUCUAGAUGUGUAGGUGUCAUGUAGAUAAGGAUUGGUUCAUAUCUUCCCAUUUUAACAGUGCUUCCAGUUUCCUGUCACCAUUGAGUGACGCUCAUUUUACAGUCAGAACUGUAUGCCAUGGACACAUUUUAUGUGUAACCCAUGUGGCAAUCGCUUCAAGUCAUUUAGCAGGAGGGGAAAACUCCCUAAGCCUCUAAGUCAGGCUUUCCCACCCAUUUUGGACCAGACAAUUCUUUGUUGCGGGAGGCUGUCCUGUGUGGGAAUGAUGUUUAGCAGCACCUCUGUCCUCCUCGCAUUAGAUGUAGGAGCACCACUUCCCUCCAGUCACGACAGCCAAAACUGUUUCGGGACCUUGACAAAUGCUCC
rnacentral:lncRNA from 1 species